UUUUCGUAUUGGUUUUAUUGAUAGUAUGAUCUUGCUGAUGAUUAUGGUUUGUUGUUCUCUCCACAGACAGCUGUUAGUGCUUUAUAUUCUCAGCUCAAAGAGCUCCAGAAGAAGGAUGCAGACAUGAAGGAGCGUGACAAAAUGUUGUACUCAAAGGUUGGUCGCUAGAGACACUGAUCUUCCGUUGGCAGCAACACUGCUGAAAGCAUAUGCAAAGGUUGAGCCUCUGACAAUAGCUGAGCUCAAUUAUUUAUUAUCACUGCUCCAUCCCAGGACAUUGACUUCAUAUGUACCAGGAGAGUUGCUCGCGUUGACAUGGACAAAGGGUGGUGUUAUG